AGUAUCACUGUAAAGAUUUUGAUUCAUUAAUUUGAAUGUAAACCUAUAUUAAUGUAUAUGAAUGUCUGGGUAACUAUCUUCUUGUUGUUGUUGUCAUCAUCAGAGUUUACUGCGGCGGUUCAUCAAAAGGGAACUCCUACAGGACCAAACCCCCCUGCAGCUGAUUAAAUUGGACAUCUCUGAGGAGAAGAACUGGGUCUCCCUCAAAAGGGUAGAUAUAGGCUUGGGGGCUGAAUCUGCCAUCAAGGUGAUGUCAUCAUUCAGCAAUUCACAUCCUUUCUCUCGGUCGUGGGCAGAGAAGAAGAAUUUGUUUCCUUCCAACCCCUGAGGCAGCGUCUGGAUGUCUUUCUCCACUCCAAACUCUGCACGUCCCACCCUGACCUGCUAAAGUUCUGCCAAAGUGCUCUCCUCCUGUCCCAUGGACAAGCCACAGUGGAGAGAGGCUUCUCAGUAAAUAAGGAGGUAGAAACGUGCAACCUCCGUGAUGAAUCUCUCGAAGCCCUCAGAUUAAUCUGCGAUAAGGUAAUUGUCUGUGGCGGCGUUCUGAAAGUUCCUCUGACCAAGGAGCUCCUGGCCUCUGCUGCUUCAUCGAGGUCACAAUACAGGCUAUACCUUGAUAGUGAGCGGAAAAAAAGGAGAAUGCCACACAGGAGCUGAAGAGGAAAGCAGCAGAGAAAGAGCUGGAGGACCUCCGGAACCGGCGGCAGGUACUCCACAGUGUGUGCCAUUCACUCCAAAAUGACGCCGACAAAUAUGCAGAGAUGGCCGAGGGAAAGGCAGGAACAAAGAUGGCUGAGCUCAUCACAAAAUCAAACACUUUUCGGAGAAGACACAGGGGAAAAAAAGCAGAACUUCUCCAAGUGGAUAAAAUGAUUGAAGAAAAGGCCACACAGUUGAGGCACUUGUGACCCUGCUGGCUAACUGUUGUUUAAGUUCUCUCUCUCUCUCUCUCGGACAGUUUUUGCGUCCAGUUGAAGUUAAAGUUAUUUCUUUGUUAAUAAGAUAUUGUAAUUACAGUGAAAGUUGCACUUUAUUAUUAUCUAGUUUAUUCUUUUUUUUCAAGGCCCUAAUUUAACCACUUGAAAUUAGUUUUUGUUAUGCAAUUGUUACUUUUUGACAUUUUGAGUAAAAACUAUGGACCAAG